rnacentral:rRNA from 1 species
CCUACGGGAGGCAGCAGUGGGGAAUAUUGGGCAAUGGGCGCAAGCCUGACCCAGCAACGCCGCGUGAAGGAAGAAGGCUUUCGGGUUGUAAACUUCUUUUCUCAGGGACGAAGCAAGUGACGGUACCUGAGGAAUAAGCCACGGCUAACUACGUGCCAGCAGCCGCGGUAAUACGUAGGUGGCAAGCGUUAUCCGGAUUUACUGGGUGUAAAGGGCGUGUAGGCGGGAAAGCAAGUCAGAUGUGAAAACCAUGGGCUCAACCUGUGGACUGAAUUUGAAACUGUUUUUAUUGAGUAGUGGAGAGGCAGACGGAAUGCCUAGUGUAGCGGUGAAAUGCGUAGAUAUUAGGAGGAACACCAGUGGCGAAGGCGGUCUGCUGGCCAGCAACUGACGCUGAGGCGCGAAAGCGUGGGGAGCAAACAGGAUUAGAUACCCCGGUAGUC